rnacentral:rRNA from 1 species
GACGAACGCUGGCGGCGUGCUUAACACAUGCAAGUCGAACGGAAAGGCCCUGCUUUUGUGGGGUGCUCGAGUGGCGAACGGGUGAGUAACACGUGAGUAACCUGCCCUUGACUUUGGGAUAACUUCAGGAAACUGGGGCUAAUACCGGAUAGGAGCUCCUGCUGCAUGGUGGGGGUUGGAAAGUUUCGGCGGUUGGGGAUGGACUCGCGGCUUAUCAGCUUGUUGGUGGGGGAGUGGCUUACCAAGGCUUUGACGGGUAGCCGGCCUGAGAGGUUGACCGGCCACAUUGGGACUGAGAUACGGCCCAGACUCCUACGGGAGGCAGCAGUGGGGAAUAUUGCACAAUGGGCGGAAGCCUGAUGCAGCAACGCCGCGUGCGGGAUGACGGCCUUCGGGUUGUAAACCGCUUUCGCCUGUGACGAAGCGUGAGUGACGGUAAUGGGUAAAGAAGCACCGGCUAACUACGUG